GAAGCGACUCACUCAGUUCCUAAUACAAGGUAUUGCCUACAUGAGUUGCUCAAUAAAAAUUGAACAAAAUUGAAACUAUCUGGGUUUUUUUUUUCUGCCACCAACAUGUAUUUUCAACCUUUAAUCUAAACUUAUUUUCCAUUUUUGGUGCUUUAAAUGAUAUUGGCCAAUCUCUAGGAAAAAAAAAAAAAGGUCACACAUAGUUUGCCAUUCAAUACAAUCCUGGCAUUUUGGCAUAUUUCCUUUUAUUUAAUUUCUUUUCAAUUAAUUAAGCACACAUGCCCUUGUUUCUCUAUGUUAGUGAUUAAAACGAUCUUUACUUCAUCAAAUCACUUGACAGUAUUGGACCUGAGUGUCACCAUUAAGUGCACAUAGCCUUGGAGUUGAGCUUCGCCAUCAGCUGCCCGCAGGUCUUUCCCCUGCCAUGUUCACUUGUUUCCUGUGAUACCCAGACAAACUCCUGGAUGUGAGGGAAGAUGUGCGGUGGUUCGUUCUGGGGCUGUGAGGGAAGGGUCUGCUGUCCUCAGCAUAUGGUAUUGUCUUGUCUAUGGCUGUUCCCAUGUCAUGUGAUCCUUCCUUUAUGACCUGUAAGCAUAUCCCCUGUACAAAUUUCUCCUUACUAAGGACACCGAUUUUCCUGGAUCAGGACACACCCCAGUGAUGUCACUGUAACUUGACUGUCUAGAGAGACUAUUCACAUUCUAAGCACUUCAAUGUAGGAGUUCUAGGUAGGGAUACACUUCACCCUAUAACCUCCCCUCACGUAUAUGUUAGGAAGUUGGAGCCAGGAAAAUAGUCUCUGAUUUGACUUUAGUUGUGACUACGUCUGGCGUGAUAUUUUUAUCUGCAUCCUACUCAUGAAUUGAAAGGCCAUGAGCAAGGAGAAACUGGUAUCUCCUUUGAUUCUAAUUCUAUUGAUGUGAGACGGUAUUUAAUGAUUAUUAAUUUAAAUGGAACCUAUUUUGACCUGCACUGUGAUGCUAUUUAAACACCAGGUCAAAUGCAGCGUCCUCGGCGUGGCUGAGACUUAAUUACAGUCCUGUAUCUAUGAAGCCUGUUGGCGAGCUAGAUCCAUUCCUUUGAAAGUUCCAAUGAACGCAGCAACCUAUAGGCUAUCUGGCGUCCUAAUUACUCUCUGUUGAUUGGACCACAUUUCCAGCAGACCCUUGCUCUUCCCUCUUCCCCGCUCACCCUCCUCCUCCCCUGCCUCCCACUCCUGUCAUCUUUCCCCCUCCUUCCUUCCUUCUUUUUCUUUCUCCAGUUUUUUGUUUCUUUUUCUUGCAUAAAGGAUUUUAGUAGACUGUAUACAUGCUGUAGAUAUACACAGGUCUGUUCCAAGGGAAGGCUGGGAAAUCGUAUAGCAAUAAGCCAUGCAUGUUCCCAGCCAUCCCUGGUCCUUGGGGCGUCCAGUUCACAAGGAGAUGGAAACUCCUGCCUGAGCUGGUGGGCAGAGAAGGUGCUGAUGGGGCCUGCCCAGCCAGCUCCCUCCUGGAGGAGCUGCAAUGGCACCAGCUUAGUUUCAGCCCCAACUAUAAUGAAAGCUUUAAAUGGUGUCUCCUGUGGUUGUGCAGUGUUUAAACACCUAUGCCCUUUUCCAUUGACCGCGCUCUAGCAAAUCACUGCUCCCUGAUGGAAAUGGAGGGCCUGAAUGAGGAUGCCGGGAUUCCCCCUUGUGCUUUGUUCAUUGUACAUGCUUAAGAUUUAUUAGAAGUGAAUGGAUGAUGACCAAAUGCAUUAUGGGGCAGAGAUGGGGCUAUCAGUAUAAGCUGGGGAACAUCUCAGGGUAUUCCUCUCAAAUCUGCAUCAAGUGUUAAGCCCCACCCCCCCCCAUCUUCCUUUAGCAUUGAAAUGAGCAUUGACAGCCUGUAUGUUUUGUUUUAUUACUUUGUAUAUGCUAUUGCUCUUGCUUUAAAGAUUCUAUUUAAGUCAUAGGGACAAAGAGCUGCUGUUUCUCAUGGUGAAAACCAUGAGAAACAGCAGCUGUCACCAUGAAUUAAGGGUGUACAGGCACACACAGACCACCUUAGUGUCUCGGGAUUCCAUAAUAACCUUUGGCAACUCUUGAGAUGAGUCGUAUUGUCCUAAUUUUACAGUUGGUCUAAAGGUUUAUAUAGCUCACUUAAUGGUGGAUCAAAACACCAAAUUUAUUCUGUCCUCAAAGCCUAUACUUUGUUUAGACAUCUUCAGUCACUCAGAUUUC
rnacentral:lncRNA from 1 species